CGCCAUGCCUGGUAGUAGAAGAUCCUGAAGGAAUUUUCCUAAGUGGAGGCUCAUCCGUUGCACUCUGGGUGUGCUGACCCCUGCGAUUUCCCUAAAUGUAAACCUGACUGUGUAAUCUGUGGUAAUUGUCAAAGCAUUAACAG